ACCUGGAUGAGAACACCUUCCUCCAGAAUAGGUAUCAGCUGGCGUUUAGGACUCUUCUCUAGAGGCCAUUCUCCAGGAAGUACCUCCGAAUCCCAGGGUGCCAUCUAAAACAGGCGCCAUCGCUGUACUUGGCCCUCCUCACUCACGGUUGCCAUGGCCCCCUAUUGGGAAAGUGCUUUGAACAUCUGUAGGAGAGGCCAUGUGUGAUGAAAUGGAGAAGGACAUACAUGUCUGGUGAGGUGGCUACAUCACUUCUGAAGCUACUUGGAUAUGAAGCAGAUGGACAGGGCACAGAACUCUCUGGUGAACACCCACCUACUCUGCUCUGAGCAGCUCGGUGGGCUCAUGGCUCUGCGUUCAGACCUCUCUCACAUGCGCCUCCAGAUGCUCCUGACACCUCUGUGAAAUGCCCGGCAGGAGGUAAG